GGCCAGGGGGCCAGGCCAGCACACGCGCCUGUGCACAUCACUGUAUUGAUUACUUCUCCUGCCCUCAGCAUCCUUGCCAGGCGACCUACCUACCACUCACACUCACACCUACACCCAUAUUACACCUUCCACUGCCUCGACGUGCCAAUACGCACGUCUGUGUGGAGGGAAGACGUCGCCGAAGGAGGGAGGUGGUGGAGUGCGAAUGUUGGAGUAACACGUGACACCUCGAGUACGACCUCCGCCCUGCCCUCACUCCACCUCUCCCAGAGUACACGGGAAAUUAUCACACGGCUUCGUUCAUUCAGAAGAAACAGUUUAAAAAUCAACAGCCUAAUUGCUUCCGUUGAGCGUCCACCAGACGAUAAUUGAUCAAUCCAGCGGAAGGUUGAUGUUUUAGCAGGUCAAGGGAAUGCCCAGGAGGGAGGGAGGCGAGUCAAGGCGAGGCUGGGAGGGUCACACAAACUGAAGGGAACACAUCGAAGCAAGUUGAGUGUUGUGGUGUUGUGGCCAGGCCGGUAGGUAGGUGGUGGUCUGCCAGCACAUACACACACACAGCAGGGCCAGGCCACCCUCUUACCACUCAUACACCAGGGAUACUCACACCAGGGAUACUCCUCACACCGGGGAUACUCUCCUGCACGCCGCCUGGCCCCUCUACACCACGUUGCACGCGUCCACCACUGACACAACAGGUCGCAGGCGCCAUUUUGGACUAACCAGCUGCUUCGUCUUGCAAGUUCUGGAGGACACUUUUGCGCGGGAAACUACCCAACUGUUGCUUAUGAUUGGCGGCCAAGAAUUCAAAGGGACGGCCAAGAAUUCAUAGUGACGGCCAAGAAUUCAAAGUGACGGCCAAGAAUUCAAAGUGGAGGCCAAGAAUUCAAAGUGGAGGCCAAGAUUUCACAGUAGAGACCAAAAUUUCAAAGUAGCGGUCUGAAUUUCAAAGUGGAGGCCAAGAUUUCAAAGUGGCGGCCGAGAUUUCAAAGUGGCGGCCGAGAUUUCAAAGUGGAGACCAAGUUUUCACAGUAGGGGCCAAGAUUUUACAGUAGUGGCCAAGAUUUCAAAGUGGCGGCCUAGAUAUCACAGUGGUGGCCAAGAUUUCAAAGUGUAGGCCAAGAUUUCUAAGUGGAGGCCAAGAUUUCACAGUGGCGGCCAAGAAAACACAGUGGCGGCCAAGAUUGCACAGUGGUGACCAAUAUUUAACAGUGGUGGCCAAGAUUUCAAAGUAGUGGCCACGACUAUCCAGGUUGGGCCAAGAUUUCACAAUGACAGCGAAGACUACCUAACUGAAAACCAAAACUAUUUAUUGAUGGCCAAGAUUUCACAGAGGUGGGCGAGCUUUACACAGUAGUGGACAAGACUUCGGAUUGGUGGCCAAGACUUCACAGUGGUGUCUACCAGAUCUCUGUCGAGCACACAGAACGUGACAAAUUGCUGGGACUGGUGAACUGCUCUUGGUUCAGAGGUACUGGAUCUACUCUCUAAUGUGGGAAGAAUGUGGCACCUGGUUCUGAUCCAGUCAGUUACAGGUGUUGAACAAGUGGGAGAUGCAAUAGCAGCGACGUGGUGACUUAUGAGGCGACCAGCCACCUCCCACCUCACCACACCGGCCUACCACACCAUCACGUCUCUCUGCCACACUACUCAGCCAGCCUAGAUCACCCAGCUGCACUCUCGCCUUCUCACCUGUGUCUCUUCUCACGCCGGGCCCACAGCACCUGUCAGUCAGUCAGUCAGUCAGUCAGUCAGUCAGUCAGUCAGUCAGUCAGCCAGGAAGCCAGCCAGCCAGCCAGCCAGCCAGCCAGCCUGAAGACCUGCCUGCUAGCCGGCCUGCAUACCUGCCUGUUUAUAUCAGCUUGAAUACCUGCCUACCAGGCAGCCUGCAUACCUGCUUGCCAAUCAGUCAGCCACACUAUCCUGACAGGUGUGUCGAGUCUUAAGUUUUGUGCCCUGCGCCAACAAGUGGAAUAACCCAAGUCCAGCUGUCAACUACCGUAGUGUGCUCAGCCUUACUGUGGGAAGGCUUGAUUUCCUGAGGACCUCUACACAAACUACCCCAUCAACAACCUUAACUCAACAAACCACAUUUCCUCGCUAGUUUGCUUCAAAACACCACCGUCUCAAACUAUUACCCUGUUGCUGCUGCAUUGAAAUCUAACCUCACCAUCAAUUCCUUCAUCCUGGACACUGAGUCAACUCUAACCUGUCAACAACAUAGUAGGAUGCUCCACUGCAUCAUCUCACUACAGAAUACUAUAACUUGUAAAGUAGAACUCUGUGACACCUACUCUAACCUUCCGUCUAUCAGGAACAGUUAAAGUUCAGUACCACACAGCGUCCCCACGACCUCACUCUUUUAGAAACCGAUCCGCCAUCCUAGAAAUCUUUGUUAUAGUAUUAUAUUAAACACUGCGUGUUAUUCAUCCACAGUUGCAUCUUACAACUUUAAACACACCAGCUUACAGACUCGGGUAUUUGUCAUGAGAAACGCAACAAGGAAGUUAAGGAGAGUGUGAGGAAGUGUACUUCUCCCCAGGUCUAAGAGGCUACUGCGGGCGUCCCGAAGAUCCAAUUCACCUCUCACGUACUAAGUUCAGUGAGCAGAGAUAAACCAGUCAGUGUGGAUAACAUUUAUCAGUCACCCCAGUGCUAUCCGUCACCUUUCUUCCCAUUGUCUUCACAAGCAUCCUUAUCCACCAUCAAUCCCAAACAGAACAGAGGAGCGCUGUAAUAGGCCUACUGGCCCAUGCAAGGCAGGUCCUCAGACGAAACCAUUCAUAAUACAGAAUACACGCAUUAUAGAUCAGCUAUUGUAAAUUAUAGCUUUACAGUAAUCCACAUAAUCAGUUUAGUCACUUUCGUAUUGUUCAUGGCACCGAGGCCCAUCAGUGGCCAAUACAAACAAGCUUUCGAUCAUUACCAUAACUACGAGGUAUUUUAUCACAGCAACAUAACCCUAUUUAAUUUCUGCUGCUCCGACACUUGACUAUAAUAUAAACUACUUAACUAUGUCUUUUAACAUGAUCUAACUGACGUCUAGGACCACGAUACAUCAUUGAUAACUGACUUCUAGCACCACGGCACAUCACUGAUAACUGACGUCUAGUACCACGACACAUCGCUGAUAACUGACGUCUAGCACCACAACACUUCACUGAUAACUUAUGAAGGUCUACGCACUGUUGCUCGUUCAAUAGGUACAUCUCAACACCACCGCCACUUACACUUCGUAGCACUGUUACUUGUUGCAAAACACUCGCUCGUACACAGUGCUACAGUCACUUCUCGUUACACAAAAUAAUCUUGCUUUCAAUAUUACCCAGACAAGAUUAACAUUCAACCCACCAUCCAUAACACAUAGCAAGAUCACUUUACCAAUCAUGUUUUCUACCCCAUACUGCAUCUAACUACUCUGUCUGCAUUUACUGUCAACGAACACACAACACGACUGCCACACAUGUAAAUUAAGAGGCAACGCAGAGUUCCUGGUGAGGCAUUCUCAGUAACACUAAACAUACUCAACUGCACGUACCUCACAUCAGUAACUUGCUCACUACACACGCAACACUACUUGUGUUCCACCUACCUCCACAUCUACACUCACGAGGUCCUGAACCACACCACGCUGGCUAACAGCCAUCACAUGAAACAUACUGGUGCGGAACAGUAAGCGUUGAACACACGGUUGGGAACAGCUGGAGUGACUGAAUGCUCAGACUUCAGGGAACGAGCAGCUGGGUCGUCCCCCACGAGGCUAUCAGGAGGCGCAGCAGCAUCACGCUACAUCGCACCGAAUAUAGCCACAAGAGAAGACUAGAAGAGCGUCAAGUGAUUCUACCUUUGGGUAACAUCGGACUGUCGCUCUUGAAGGAACGACUGUUACUGACUGCACGAAAGGUGAUUCCUCCUCAUCUCCAGGCCUCUUACCAACCGCAACCAACUGCUCCCUCAUUACAGUGUAAUCAGACUUAUUAUAUUUGACAGACGAUAGCAUACGAUUAGUGUAACUCAUGAGCCAUAAUAGUGGAGGAGGCACCAGGGAAGGAUACACACAUAAGACUAAAUUGUAGAAGAAUUACAGAGGAAGGUGCACCGAACAGAUUAGUGAAUGGUAACUAGAGUUGUUCCUCAGGGCAUAACUUUCAGUGAAUGAUGCCUGAGCGGCUACGCAGCGCUUAGGAAAGUGGCGCUGUAUGACCCUGGCAGGUUUAGCGCUUCCGUCUGAUUAUAAUAAUAAUUAGGAAAGUGGCUAAGUUGUAUUGGUCGGCUAAGCAGAGCAGAGAAGAGUGACCAGAGUGUGUUGGUCGGCUAUACAGCGCUGAAGUGGCGAAAUUGUGUGGGUCGGCAGACUGUGACGAUUAUCUUCACUCGGACCUUCAUGUACUCCGCGUGCGGUGAUCAUACAUGCCUUAAAGGAGAGUGCAGCUCUGAAUACAGUGUGGGAUGUACAACGUCAGUAUUACCAUCUGUUCUGUCAGUAUUUAUAUCAGUAUUACAAAAAUCUAAGUGCCAAAGUAAUAUUCAUGAAUGCUCGAAAACGUAAAAAAGAAAACGUAGUUUUCCUUUAAAAGCAAAGAAAAUGUCAGUCUCACGCAAGUAUCCAUUUUGAGGAUAACUUUUCGAUGGGCAAAUAUCGGACGCUUGAAUAUUAGAAUUUACAGAGUUAAAGUCUUCCUGUUUCGUUUUAUAUUUAUGCAGAGCUUCGUAAAGUCUAUGAUUAAAUUAAGCGAAGGUCUUCCAGCUGCAAUUAAAGCAUCGGCGGCGAGGGAAAUGUUGGUGGGCCUUCUUGUAGAGUACAGGUGUGUGGCGAGAGGCCGGCCAAGUCUGGCAUGAGUUCUUCCGUCCUGCUGUGGAAGCUCGAUACGGCGUAAGCUGUCAAUGGCCCUAUAAACUCCAACAAGCAGAUUACCGUGGAAUCGAAGCCUCCACUGACCAUUUAUCGGGUUCACUUGGAACCGUGAAUCACAAACUCGGGAUAUCAUCAGUGGGGUCUCUGGUCUCUUGAAAAUCACGAAAUUACCUCGAGUAAGCUGAGCCAGCGUUUACCCCACCAGAGAGCAGGUUACAACGAUUAGCACACUCACAGGAACAGCGACUAACACGCACAUAGAACCAGCAACUAGCGCGAUCACAGAAGCAAAUAUACAACACCCACUAAGCAACGACUAAGGCUUCACGAGUACCCCUAAAAUCGCUGAUACAAAAAGGAUUAAAAAAGAAAGUGUGGGGUUAAGAAGCUGGCCAACCCCCCAAAAAAAUUACAGAAGAAAAUUAUUGUGAAGAGGAACGCGAGAAGAGAUUAAUUAGCGCGAGGAGGUAGAAAAGAGAAGGUUGUUGGAGGUAGAGGAGCCCCGGGAGUGUGAACAAUGGGCAGCAGCUGUUCCUCCUCACAGUCGAUGAAGGACAAUGUCUCCGUCAAGAGUGAGGACUAUGACAUGGAUGACAAGGUGGGUGGGCAGCAGCCGCAGGCGGCUUCGUCCACUCCGGAUAGACCCACCAGCUCCUCCGUAGACGACGCUAGUUACGACACGGAGAGCUGUAGCGGCACCAACCGCUCUCCCAGACCUCCGGUCUUCGCCAAGAUGGUCCACAACGACAGGGUCUCCGACGUAGCAUA